UAGCGAAGGGGGCUAGCGUUGUUCGGAUUAACUGGGCGUAAAGGGUGCGUAGGCGGGUUUUUAAGUCAGGGGUGAAAUCCCGAGGCUCAACCUCGGAACUGCCUUUGAUACUGGAAAUCUUGAGUCUGGGAGAGGUGAGUGGAACUGCGAGUGUAGAGGUGAAAUUCGUAGAUAUUCGCAAGAACACCGGUGGCGAAGGCGGCUCACUGGCCCGGAACGUGACGCUGAGGCACGAAAGCGUGGGGAGCAAACAGGG
rnacentral:rRNA from 1 species